UUUCCGUAGGUGAACCUGCGGAAGGAUCAUUAUUGGAUUUUGGAACUUCAGGCUGCUGCUGGCUCUCCUCGGAGGGCAUGUGCACGCUUGUUGUCCAUUAUUUCUCCCACUGUGUACAAAUUGUAGACCUUUCAGUAGGCCUAUGUUGUUUUUCACAAUCUCUGAAUGUAAUAGAAUGGUUUUGAAUCUUGGGAAAUACAAUACAACUUUCAGCAACGGAUCUCUUGGCUCUC
rnacentral:misc_RNA from 1 species